AUUGAACGCUGGCGGCAGGCCUAACACAUGCAAGUCGAACGAGUGGCGGACGGGUGAGUAGUGUCUGGGAAACUGCCUGAUGGAGGGGGAUAACUACUGGAAACGGUCGCUAAUACAGCAUACCAUCAGAUGUGGCCCGAUGGGAUUAGCUAGUAGGUGGGGUAACGGCUCACCAAGGCGACGAUCCCUAGCUGGUCUGAGAGGAUGACAAGCCACACUGGAACUGAGACACGGUCCAGACUCCUACGGGAGGCAGCAGUGGGGAAUAUUGCACAAUGGGCGCAAGCCGGAUGCAGCCAUGCCGCGUGUAUGAAGAAGGCCUUCGGGUUGUAAAGUACUUUCAGCGGGGAGGCGUUACCCGCAGAAGAAGCGCCGGCUAACUCCGUGCCAGCAGCCGCGGUAAUAC
rnacentral:rRNA from 1 species